CGUCGCAAUGGCGCCACCAAUAUAAACUUAUAUCAGACAGACACGAAACAACGACAGCGCCAGAAACAACAACAACAACACAACAACGAUACUGUAGACCGACGCGUCGGUCGGUCGGUUGGUCGCUCGCUCGGUCGUUUUGUCAGCCGGUUUGACAAGUUGGAAGAAUCAAAAAUCUGAGGUGAAUUCGAACGAGCGAGAGCACAGAGCAAGUGCACAAGAGAGCAUCGGUUCAGUGUGUGUGUGCGUGUACAUGUAUGUAUAUGUGUGUAUAAAUACAUUGUAUAGAUGUAUGCAUACAUGGACGUGUGGGUGUAUGUGUGUGUGUCUAUAGGUGGCAAAGAAAUAACACAUUUCCGAAUUCUUUUGAAAAUUCAACAAGUAUAAAAAUCUAGUAUUGGAAUAGUAUGCGCAAUGUGGAGCAGCGGAGGAGCAAGGAUGUCCGGGAAUAUUGUUAUAAACAGUAGGCAAAUGCCUCUUUAAAUACAUACAUAUAUUUUUCUUUAUUAUUUAUACGUAUGCCCGCACUAGUUCGUGGAAAAUCGCUGGCACAUAACCAUGCACAUCUGUGAAAUAUAUGCGCAUACACCUGCUGACGGCGCUAUCAUCAAUGCUGAUGGAUGCCAUUCAAGUAGGUGAAAUAUUGUUGUUUAUAAGUAAAUUGCAAUGUCGCCGGCAAGUGUUACAGUGCGUCGGAGCAGAAUUGGUAUAAUAAUCAAGCGAAAUUACACAGGAGAGGUAUUUUCCAGUUGAAUUUCCGUUUGCAGUUCGAAGAAUGUGUGGGAUGUGAUUAAAAAACAUCUUAACAAAAUCACUAUGUAUUCAGAUCUACUUAAAACCAUUUUCAUUCAAGUCACCUUUAUGGCAGGGCAGAAUUCAGAACGGAUAAAGAUUUGAGCUUUAGAAUUACUAAUUGAUGUAUAUGCCUAUGUAUUAAUAUAUAUAUAGUACUACAUAAAAUAUUUGUAUAUACUUACUUCA